GACUGUCAAAUUUGAGCUCAAACGGAUAUUCAGGGAGUUCCGGCGAAAGAUAUCAGAUUUCGAACUGCCUGGAGUGAAUAGUGUUUUGGGGGAGUUUACUUGGAGGUUAAGUUUCCUCUUAUACAUAUAUAAGGGUGUUAUGUCAUUUCCCUCAUUCCUCUCUAUUUGAGCCAACAUAAGAGAAAUCUCUCUCUCUCUACCAAAGAAAGAAUUGGAGAAGAAAAUUGAGGCAAGCUUGAAGAAAAUUGAAGUAGCUUGGAGUUGAAGCUUCAUCUUUAUCUUCUCUUUCCUUGGUCUAAGUGGAAGCUUGUGUUUGAGGUAAGCUUCAUGAACCUCUAAUGGUGGAUUGCUAGGAAAUAAUAUAUAUAUCCUAGAAAUAGAUUUAGAGGACUCCCUAGAUGCUAAGUAGAAGCUAUUUGCUUGAAUUAAAGGCUAAUAUGGCUAUUCUUGCAAUAGUAGCAUAUUAGAGCUCCAAAUUGGGGUUUUUGCUUGUGAGGGGUUUUGAUCUAAAUUGAUCAUGUAUAAACCUAAUUGCUAGGUAAACGAACGCGUUGGCGAAGUCGGUUCGGCGAUUCGUCGAGCCUACGCGAAGUUAUUAAAGAAACGGACGUUAGGUUUCGUUUCCGCCUGGAGGGCCGAGGCGACGUCGUAAAAUCAUGGAAAUGGAUUUGAGGCAUCGUGGCGCAUAACCGAAGACCUAUAAUUUUCGGGGCUGCGAAGCGGAGCACGGUUGAGGCGCAGUUGCAGUAUCGGGCCGUGCCGGAUACGGGUGCCGCGGGAGGCCGAUUGCAAGUGUCGACAAGCAAUCGGAACGCGAAUUAAGGUGGGUUGUGCUUACCGAAGCGACUAGGUCGCCCUUUAUGUCUAAGAAACUAAGAAUCCAUGUUGAUGCAUAUAAAUGUAAAUGAAGCAUGUAAAUUAUGCAUGUAGCUAAAUAAUGCAUGUUGAUAGUAUGAUGUAAAUGCUAAAUAGAAUUCAUUAUGAGCAAGUUGAAUAAUGGUAGAUAAUUAUGUGAAUGCCAAGUAGUGAGCAUGUAAAAGUAAAGUUGUAUGCAUGAUGAUUAUGACAUGUAGAUGCUAAGUAAACGCAUGAACGCAUGAGUAGCAUGAUGGUAAUAUACAAGAUAAAUGUUGCAUGAAAACUAGGUUGAUAACCUUAAAAUGAUUAAAGUAAAGGAUGCUAUGCUAAAGUAUAAGUGAUAAGCAUGAUAUAAGAAUAGUAAAUGCAAGUGCAUGUUAAGAAUGCUAAGUAAGGAACAUAUAUAGGUGGACAUGAAUAAACCUAUAGAUCGAGUGGCAUUAAACCUAGUGUCGAGGACAUAGGUUAAACAAAUGUGAUGUUGAACCUAAUGUAAAGAACAUAGGUUGUGAAAUGAAAGCUGCUUAACCUAGAGUCAAGUGAACCUAGGUUGGAAAAGAAUGAUGAUCCUAGUGUAAUAAACCUAGGUUAAGAAUGUGAAAGCAAUAAACCUAAAGUGAUAACUUAGGUUGUGUAAAGGACAAUGAACCUAGAGUCAAUUGGACCUAGGAGAUAAAAGCUUAGACCUAGAGAGGUCAGUUCCAUAGGGUUAAGACCAACCCUUGGUUAAUGUGAUAUGGAUUCCGGAAUCCCAAAGCUUGCUGAUGCACCCAAAGUGGUGUGGGGUGUGUGCGACGAUUUCGCCGCCCAGGGGCUAGAAAACCAUUGUCGUGGCGUGUGUGCGACGAUUUCGCCGCCGGAUGGUUAGCCAGUUUGUG
rnacentral:lncRNA from 1 species